rnacentral:lncRNA from 1 species
AAAUUAAUGGCCUACUAAGUGAAGAAGAGGCCUAAGAUAUUUUUGACCAUAAACCCUAACUUGAUAUUGAGGACAAAGAUCUCCCUACUGUUAUCCUUAAUAACUUGAAAAUGUAUCAGUAUCAUUCAUUCCAUUUUAGGAAGUCUUUCUUCCAUAGAGGAGCCACCUAUCAUCACAAUAGAGAGAGGUUGUGUUUGCAUGACUUUUAGUGAGAUUGCUCAUGAGCACUACUUGCCGGAAGAAUAACCAUUGGACUCGUAAUAGAGUAAAAAGUUGUAGAGGUCGUACAUUAAGCAAGUAGCUUGAUUUCUUGAGCCAUUUAUUGAAAGAGAAAUGAAUUAGAGGCAAAGUUGAUGCAUAACACAAGAUUAACUUGUAAUUCCAACUCACAAGAUAACUUGAACUAAGAUAAUUUGGUUGAAAGAUAAAUGAA